GGAUGCGAUCAUACCAGCACUAAAGCAACGGAUCCCAUCAGAACUCCGAAGUUAAGCGUGCUUGGGCGAGAGUAGUACUAGGAACAUGCGUACGUGUGCGGAAUAUAUUAAGCGCGGUUC
rnacentral:rRNA from 1 species